rnacentral:rRNA from 1 species
GUAGCUUCCUCUGCGUAGUAAUACACCUCGCUCUGGAGUCUCGGUGCGACCACGCCGUAAAACCCCCAACUUUUUCUGGUUGACCUCGAAUCAGGUAGGACUACCCGCUGAACUUAAGCAUAUCAAUAAGCGGAGGAAAAGAAACCAACAGGGAUUGCCCUAGUAACGGCGAGUGAAGCGGCAACAGCUCAAAUUUGAAAUCUGGCCCUCGGGUCCGAGUUGUAAUUUGUAGAGGAUGCUUUUGGUGAGGUGCCUUCCGAGUUCCCUGGAACGGGACGCCAUAGAGGGUGAGAGCCCCGUCUGGUUGGACACCGAACCUCUGUAAAGCUCCUUCGACGAGUCGAGUAGUUUGGGAAUGCUGCUCUAAAUGGGAGGUAUAUGUCUUCUAAAGCUAAAUACCGGCCAGAGACCGAUAGCGCACAAGUAGAGUGAUCGAAAGAUGAAAAGCACUUUGAAAAGAGAGUUAAAAAGUACGUGAAA